rnacentral:rRNA from 1 species
GGGACACGUGGUAUCCUGUCUGAAUAUGGGGGGACCAUCCUCCAAGGCUAAAUACUCCUGACUGACCGAUAGUGAACCAGUACCGUGAGGGAAAGGCGAAAAGAACCCCGGCGAGGGGAGUGAAAAAGAACCUGAAACCGUGUACGUACAAGCAGUGGGAGCACCUUCGGGUGUGACUGCGUACCUUUUGUAUAAUGGGUCAGCGACUUAUAUUCUGUAGCAAGGUUAACCGUAUAGGGGAGCCGCAGGGAAACCGAGUCUUAACUGGGCGUUAAGUUGCAGGGUAUAGACCCGAAACCCGGUGAUCUAGCCAUGGGCAGGUUGAAGGUUGGGUAACACUAACUGGAGGACCGAACCGACUAAUGUUGAAAAAUUAGCGGAUGACUUGUGGCUGGGGGUGAAAGGCCAAUCAAACCGGGAGAUAGCUGGUUCUCCCCGAAAGCUAUUUAGGUAGCGCCUCGUGAACUCAUCUUCGGGGGUAGAGCACUGUUUCGGCUAGGGGGUCAUCCCGACUUACCAACCCGAUGCAAACUACGAAUACCGAAGAAUGUUAUCACGGGAGACACACGGCGGGUGCUAACGUCCGUCGUGAAGAGGGAAACAACCCAGACCGCCAGCUAAGGUCCCAAAGUCAUGGUUAAGUGGGAAACGAUGUGGGAAGGCACAGACAGCCAGGAUGUUGGCUUAGAAGCAGCCAUCAUUUAAAGAAAGCGUAAUAGCUCACUGGUCGAGUCGGCCUGCGCGGAAGAUGUAACGGGGCUAAACCAUGCACCGAAGCUGCGGCAGCGACACUAUGUGUUGUUGGGUA